rnacentral:rRNA from 1 species
GACGAACGCUGGCGGCGUGCCUAACACAUGCAAGUCGAACGGAGAUAUGAUUUCGGUUGUAUCUUAGUGGCGAACGGUGAGUAACGCGUGAGCAACCUGACUCUUAGAGGGGAUAACACUCGGAAACGGGUGCUAAUACCGCAUAAGACCACGACAUGGCAUCAUGACGAGGUCAAAGGAGCAAUCCGCUGAGAGAGGGGCUCGCGUCCCAUUAGAUAGAUGGCGGGGUAACGGCCCACCAUGUCAGCGAUGGGUAGCCGAGCUGAGAGGCUGAUCGGCCACACUGGAACUGAGACACGGUCCAGACUCCUACGGGAGGCAGCAGUGGGGAAUAUUGGGCAAUGGGCGCAAGCCUGACCCAGCAACGCCGCGUGAGGGAAGAAGGCUUUCGGGUUGUAAACCUCUGUCCCUUGGUGACGAAAAAAAUGACGGUAGCCAAGGAGGAAGCCCCGGCUAACUACGUGCCAGCAGCCGCGGUAAU